UGAAACACCCACGUACAACAUCCACGUACUUGAAACACCCACGAAAACGCCCACGUACCAACAUGGGCGUACAAUAUGUCAAUCUGGUGACUGAUGUUGGAUUUGGCUCGUUCAUCCGUCUCUUGUUCAGGUAAGAGUCAAACACCAUAGGAUCCAGCAGCGGUCAAUAAAGGAACACCACUCGAUCUACUGCGCCUGCGUACUAGAGUGUUGCCAACAGGAUGGUUGUGAUUUACACCAAUAAGAUCGCUAAUCUCAAGGGAUUUGGAUCAUUCUGCAGGUUAUUGAUAAGAUGGCGUGGCAGUGUUUACAAGAUGGUCUGGCAGGACUUACUGGUGUAUGUCAUCCUGUACGCCUCCUUGUCGUGCCUCUAUCGUUUUGGUUUAACUGAGGAUCAGAGAAGAAUCUUCGAGAAGGUGUCAGUCCACUGCAGUCUCUUCCGGAACCUCAUACCCAUAUCAUUUGUCCUAGGUUUCUACGUCUCAUUAAUAGUCAGUAGAUGGUGGGGUAUGUACCUCAGCAUACCCUGGCCCGAUACCCUGUGUAUAUACUUAGCGAUCAUUCAGGGCACGGACGCAAGAGCUAGAAUGAUGAGGUGCACAGUUGUUAGGUAUGUGAACCUGGCCAUUGUGAUGACUUUCUCAAUGAUCGCUCCAGGGGUCAAGAAGAACUUCCCAGGUCUAGAGCAGAUGGUGGAUGCUGGUUACCUUACUGAUAACGAGAAGGCAAUACUAGAAUCCCUCGACCACAAGACCAAGGAACACAAAACCUACGUCCCCUUCUUGUGGGCAUGUAAGAUCGUGGAUAGGGCAAGACGUGAGGGCAAGAUAAGGGAUGAUAUUGCCCAGAAGACCGUCACGGAUGAGAUCAUUAAAGUCCGUGGUUAUUGUGGUGAACUUCUUGGGUGAUAUAUAAUAUACCUUUAGUGUAUACACAGGUAGUGACGAUCGCAGUGUAUACAUUCUUCCUCUUCAGCGUCGUUGGGGAGCAGUUUCUCGACCCUGGACAGAAACUACCCAACAACCUCAUCGAUCUCUACGUGCCAAUCUUCACUCUAUUACAAUUCUUCUUUUAUAUCGGCUGGUUAAAAGUGGCAGAGUCCCUCAUCAAUCCAUUUGGAGAAGAUGACCAUGACUUUGAGUUUGUACCUUUGGUGAAGAGACAUUUAGAGAUGUCGUACUUGUUAGCAGACGCCAGUCCUAACGAGCAGCCAACUCGGUACAGGAUUCUUACUGGGAUCGAACCCUGGAAACAGAGACGGAGAAGGUGGAACUUAGCAACGUCGCCUUUAUUCUGGCCAAUCAGUUCGUCCAACCAACUGAGGUAUAAGAAAUGAUGGCACUGUGUUGGCAGGUGUUGGAAAUACCUGUAGAAUCUUCCCCAGGUGUUGGCAGGUGUUGGAAAUACCUGUAGAAUCUUCCCGAGGUGUUGGCAGGUGUUGGAAAUGCCUGUAGAAUCUCCCAGGUGUUGGCAGGUGUUGAAAAUCCCUGUAGAAUCUUCCCCAGGUGUUGGCAGGUUGAAAAUCCCUGUAGAAUCUUCCCCAGGUGUUGGCAGGUGUUGAAAAUCCCUGUAGAAUCUUCCCCAGGUGUUGAAAAUACCUGUAGAAUCUUCCCCGUUGUUGGCAGGUGUUGAAAAUACCUGUAAAGUAUUUUUAAAGUAGUUAAGUAACAUGUUACCAUUAGUAUAACGUAACUAACAGGUUUAAAAGUACAGGUAUGGAUUAUAAGUGAAUUAAGUAUGCUAUAAUAUGCACUUAACACUUAUAUUACUUAUAUAAUUACUUGAGUAGGACACACACACACACACACACACACACACACACACACACACACACACACACCAACACUUAUGAUCCCCUUAAGUGCAUUUCAACUAUAAGUGUAUCUGUUUGUUGGUCAGAUGGGGCCUAGUUCUAAUAGGCCCUAGUUCUAAUAGACCCCAUCUAUUUGACCAUGAUCUAUGUAUUAAAUAAACACUACAGCAAUACUUAACAUUCGAGCAUCAAUUGUUGUAUUAAUAUAAACAUUUCCUGUAUAAUAUUUAUGUUUCAAUGUCGAUGUUUAGUGAUGUUAUGAUAGAAUUAUGUUCAGUAUUGAUGUUAGAUGUUGUGUUUAAUUGAUGUUUUAGGUGUUAAUUAUUUUGUCUCUGUGUUUAUUUAUAUUAUAUGAGAUAAAUAUUGUAUAAU